rnacentral:rRNA from 1 species
UCUGUAGGUGGUUUAAUAAGUCAACUGUUAAAUCUUGAUGGCUCAACUUCAAAAUCGCAGUCGAAACUAUUAGACUAGAGUAUAGUAGAGGUAAAGGGAAUUUCCAGUGGAGCGGUGAAAUGCGUAGAUAUUGGAAAGAACACCGAUGGCGAAAGCACUUUACUGGGCUAUUACUAACACUCAGAGACGAAAGCUAGGGUAGCAAAUG